rnacentral:tRNA from 1 species
GGUGGAGCUCAGUGGUAGAAUGCAUGCUUAGCAUGUGUGUGGCCCUGGGUUCAAUUCCCAGCAUCACCA